GACUGCCUGUUCCAUUUGCUGACCUUGGGUUACCUUUCCAUGCGUGGCUCUUUGAACCAUUGUGGCCCUUGGCUGACCAAAAACAGGAAGCCAUGUGACGACCGCAACCUUUCCCCAUUAGACCUGGGUGGUGAGGAUCCCAAGGGUUAGACACAGAUGAGAUUAAACUGAAAUAGGUGGAUAUGGUUAUAGAAGAAGUGGCCGAGAUAAAUAUGGCCCUCCUACUCGCACAGAGUACAGACUUAUUGUGGAGAAUUUGUCAAGUCGGUGCAGCUGGCAAGACCUAAAGGAUUAUAUGCGUCAGGCAGGAGAAGUGACUUAUGCAGAUGCUCACAAGGGACGCAAAAAUGAAGGGGUGAUUGAAUUUGUAUCUUAUUCUGAUAUGAAAAGAGCUUUGGAAAAGUUGGAUGGAACUGAAGUCAAUGGGAGAAAAAUCAGAUUAGUUGAAGACAAGCCAGGUUCCAGACGACGCCGGUCCUACUCCAGAAGCCGGAGUCAUUCAAGGUCUCGCUCUCGAAGCAGACAUUCCCGUAAGAGCAGAAGCCGAAGUGGCAGCAGCAAAAGCAGUCAUUCUAAGAGUAGAUCUCGGUCCAGGUCGGGCUCCCGCUCCCGGAGCAAGAGCCGGAGCCGGAGCCAGAGUCGGAGCCGGAGCAAG
rnacentral:lncRNA from 1 species